rnacentral:rRNA from 1 species
UACGUAGGGUGCGAGCGUUGUCCGGAAUUAUUGGGCGUAAAGGGCUCGUAGGCGGUUUGUCACGUCAGGAGUGAAAACUCGGGGCUCAACCCCGAGCCUGCUUCUGAUACGGGCAGACUAGAGGUAUGCAGGGGAGAACGGAAUUCCUGGUGUAGCGGUGAAAUGCGCAGAUAUCAGGAGGAACACCAAUGGCGAAGGCAGCUCGCUGGGACGUGACUGACGCUGAGACGCGAAAGCGUGGGGAGCAAACAGG